UGCGUAGGCGGUGCGGUAAGUCUUCUGUGAAACCUCCGGGCUUAACUCGGAGCCUGCAGGGGAAACUGCCGUGCUGGAGUAUGGGAGAGGUGAGUGGAAUUCCCGGUGUAGCGGUGAAAUGCGUAGAUAUCGGGAGAACACCUGUGGCGAAAGCGGCUCACUGGACCAUUACUGAUGCUGAUGCACGAAAGCUAGGGGAGCAAACAGGAUUAGAUACCCUGGUAGUCCUAGCCCUAAACGAUGAUCGCUUGGUGUGACAGGUACCCAAUCCUGUCGUGCCGGAGCUAACGCGUUAAGCGAUCCGCCUGGGGAGUACGGUCGCAAGGCUGAA
rnacentral:rRNA from 1 species